UACGAAGGGGGCGAGCGUUGUUCGGAUUUACUGGGCGUAAAGGGCGCGCAGGCGGUUCUGUUUGUCGAGUGUGAAAGCCCGGGGCUCAACCCCGGGUCUGCCGUGCCGACUGUCAAACUCGAGGGCUGUAGAGGCAGACGGAAUUCCGGGUGUAGCGGUGGAAUGCGUAGAGAUCCGGAGGAAGACCGGUGGCGAAGGCGGUCUGCUGGGCAGUUUCUGACACUGAUGCGCGACAGCGUGGGGAGCAAACAGG
rnacentral:rRNA from 1 species